rnacentral:rRNA from 1 species
UUGUUUUCAGACUAGCCAUGCACGUCUAAGUACAAACUAAAUGAUGGUGAAACUGCAAAUGGCUCAUUACAACGGUUAUGAUGUACCCGGGAGUUCCGAUGGAUAUUUCCAGUAACACUAGAACUAAUACAUGUCCCUGCGUUUAUUAGUUUCGCACAGUCCGUCGCUGAGUCAUGGUAAACAGUUGAUCGACUCGACGUCCCGGAACAGUUUCCGCCCCAUCAGCUUCGAUGGUUGGGUAUUGGCCUACCAUUGCAACAACGGGUAACGAAGAAUUAGGGUUUGAUUUCGGAGAGGGAGCCUGAGAAACGGCUACCACAUCUACGGAUGGCAGCAGGCGCGCAAAUUACCCAAUGCAGACACUGUGAGGUAGUGACGAGAAAUAAUAAAGCGGGACUUCUGUUUCGCUAUUAUAAUGAGGAAUAACCAAAGGUCAUUCCGAUUAGCAACUGAUGGGAAAGUCUGGUGCCAGCAGCCGCGGUAAUACCAGCGUCAGUAGC